rnacentral:tRNA from 1 species
GGAGCGGCAGUCCAGACGGCAGGUCGCCGGCUACAGACGCCGAGGGCCAUGAGUUCAAGCCGCCCUCGAUCCGCUCCGCCA